GUACACUCCUGCGGGAGGCAGCAGUGGGGAAUUUUGGACAAUGGGCGAAAGCCUGAUCCAGCAAUGCCGCGUGAGUGAAGAAGGCCUUCGGGUUGUAAAGCUCUUUUGUCAGGGAAGAAACGGUGAGAGCUAAUAUCUUUUGCUAAUGACGGUACCUGAAGAAUAAGCACCGGCUAACUACGUGCCAGCAGCCGCGGUAAUACGUAGGGUGCAAGCGUUAAUCGGAAUUACUGGGCGUAAAGCGUGCGCAGGCGGUUUUGUAAGUCUGAUGUGAAAUCCCCGGGCUCAACCUGGGAAUUGCAUUGGAGACUGCAAGGCUAGAAUCUGGCAGAGGGGGGUAGAAUUCCACGUGUAGCAGUGAAAUGCGUAGAUAUGUGGAGGAACACCGAUGGCGAAGGCAGCCCCCUGGGUCAAGAUUGACGCUCAUGCACGAAAGCGUGGGGAGCAAACAGGAUUAGAAACCCGAGUAGUCCCAUG
rnacentral:rRNA from 1 species